rnacentral:lncRNA from 1 species
UAUUGCAUUUAUUUGUAACUAUCUUUUUAUCUGAAAUUUAUCAAAUGAAAGUAUUUAGUAACUAAUUUUGUCUUUUAUUUUUAUUUAGCGUAAGUAGGAUGGAUUGUAGUAAUUGAGUUCUAAAUACAAAAAAUACUUACUAAUUUUUUUCUUUUUUAACAGUCUAGGCUGAAAUUUACCUGUUUGAAAAAAAGAACCAAUGGAGUUGUUAAUUAGCAGUGACAUGAUUUAAGAGACAAUAACCAGAAAAGAAAUAAGUAAAAACCACGUAGGAAACUUCUCUGUGAUUGAUCUGCACUCUUAAAUUGUAUUUAAGUAUGCGUGUGUCCUGUGGCAGUAGCUGCUCUAGUUUUAACACUGGCCUCUAUUUAAAAGGCAGCCUCAUCAAGAUACUUACAGUAUUUCUCAGCCAAGCACAGAAAUCAAAUAACGGUCCCUCCAGAUAACAGCCACAGACUUGAAUCCUAUGUAUAAUCUUAGUAACCCAAUAAAAUAACUUAUUUGAAGUAAACUCUAUUGGAUUAACAUACAGUUUCUAUAUGAAACUGGCCUCUUCAUUACAUUGUUUGCCACAGGCUUCUUAAUCUGUAAAGUCUGAAAAGAACAAUUUUUUGUUUUUACUGAAAAACAGUUUUAUGUUAAUAUUUGUUGUCCUGUAUGUUGUCUAUUAGUAGACUGGUUAUCCUUGAAAACAAAGACUUUGAUAGCUGUU